rnacentral:rRNA from 1 species
AUGGCUCGGUGUGUCUGGGCUUUGGGAGACGAAGGAAUUCUUGAGCAUGCAGAAACAGAAGUGAAAAUAAAUGUGGAUGGAGGUUCAUCUCGCAGUGGAAACAAAGGUGCAGCAGCAGCUGUCUGCAGAGACUGCAAUGAUCCUGCCAGUUUGGAAGCGUGGGCAUGCAAUGAGGCUUUGGCCUUGGCCCAGGACUUGCAUGUUCAGCGACUUCUAAUCGCCUCUGAUUGUGCCGAAGUAAUCACCAAUAUGAGCCGAGACACAGCUGCAGUUUAUGCGCCAAUUAUGCAGGAGAUAGAUAUUCGCAGAAGGAAUUUUGAGCAUGUUGUCUUUCGUCAUGAACCAAGGGAAUGCAUUAGUGAGGCUCAUAGAUUAGCUAAGGCCGCGUCGACUCUUGACGUGGGCCGCCAUGUGUGGCUAGGGACUGUCCCAGACAUUAUUUGUAUUCCAAACUGUUUAAACUUUGAAUAA